UACGUAGGUGACCAGCGUUGUCCGGAUUUACUGGGCGUAAAGAGCGCGCAGGCGGUCGUUCAAGUCGAGUGUGAAAGCCCCCGGCUCAACUGGGGAGGGUCACUCGAUACUGAUCGACUUGAAGGCAGGAGAGGGAAGCGGAAUUCCCGGUGUAGUGGUGAAAUGCGUAGAUAUCGGGAGGAACACCAGUGGCGAAGGCGGCCUCCUGGCCUGUUCUUGACGCUGAGGCGCGAAAGCUAGGGGAGCAAACGGG
rnacentral:rRNA from 1 species